ACGGCUACUCGUUUAAAUCACCAACGGCUACUCGUUUAAAUCUACUUACGGUUGGCGAUGUCACCCCCCAUCUUGUACUUGGUGACCACCAGGUCCUCCGCUAUGGUCUGCUCUUGUUCUUCGUCGGACAUCUUGGCAGUGAAGUUUCAGUCGCUAGUUAGUUAGUCUUCCUGAACAGCGACGGUUCCCCCGCAGCUCAGCUCAGCUCAGCUCAGCUCUGCUCAGCUCUGUGA